rnacentral:rRNA from 1 species
CACGUAGGCGGAUAUUUAAGUCAGGGGUGAAAUCCCAGAGCUCAACUCUGGAACUGCCUUUGAUACUGGGUAUCUUGAGUAUGGAAGAGGUAAGUGGAAUUCCGAGUGUAGAGGUGAAAUUCGUAGAUAUUCGGAGGAACACCAGUGGCGAAGGCGGCUUACUGGUCCAUUACUGACGCUGAGGUGCGAAAGCGUGGGGAGCAAACGA